AGUCGGCCGGCCUGUCGCUUGCGCAGUUUGUGCAGGAGGAAAGUCCGGGCAACACAGAGCAUCCCACUUCCUAACAGAAAGCUGUCCGCGAGGGUGGAGUAACGCAGAAGAAAAUAACCGCCUCCGGAGGUAUCAUCUCCCUCCGGCGGUAAGGGUGAGAAGGCGGGGUAAGAGCCCACCGGCCUUGUGGCGACACAAGGGCCGUGCGUCUUGGGAGUUGUAAGGUCAUGUAAACCGGCGUCCAUGAGGGUUGCUCGCCCCAUGUCGGAGGGUAGACCGCUAAAGCCGUCUGGUGACAGGCGGACGAGAUAAAUGACAGGCAUCCCGUGCUGGCACGGGACACAGAACCCGGCUUACAGGCCGGCUGCU
rnacentral:RNase_P_RNA from 1 species